CGUUCUGAUACACUUACUUAACACAGCGAAACCCUAUUAGCUUAUUUCUCGCGAAUUAUUACCACGAUUUUGCGAUUAUUUUGUCUACAUUAAAGAAACAAAGCAUAAAUGAUUAAAAAUUUCUAUUUAGUGAACUCAUUUAAAAUAGCUUCAGCAUCACUCAGAGGAUAACCAACAUCAAUGUUUCUUUUUACUUUAUUUGCAAGACACUUGUUGGUUUCAGACAUCAAUGCCUCUAAUAUUCCUGUCCACACAAAGCAGGAAAAGCUUCUUGUCUCAAGGGUCAUCUCAAGCAAGUCCAAAAUCAUAAACUUCCGUGAGAAGAAUUUUUUGUACUGUCUAAUCCUAUAAAUAAUAAAAAUUUAGCUAAUA